UUCUGAUCAACACUGCUAGUAGAUGAGCUUGAGGCAUUAUUACACAUAAAUUGCAACCUUUUGGCGUGAAACAGCCUUGAAUUUGAGGAAGUAUGAGAAAAUAGAGGAAGAUUAUGGAGACAUGGAGAUGGGUCUCGGGAAAUCUACGGUAGUAGUAUAAUCUAGUACUAGCAGUACUAGUACUUCUGCUGUUGCAGCUGUGGCUGAAGCCGAGGAUGGGCUGUAGAAUCGAACAUC
rnacentral:lncRNA from 1 species